rnacentral:rRNA from 1 species
AAACGUAGGUGGCAAGCGUUGUCCGGAAUUACUGGGUGUAAAGGGAGCGCAGGUGGGGCUGUAAGUCGAAUGUGAAAUCUAUGGGCUCAACUCAUAAAUUGCGUUCGAUACUAUAGUUCUUGAGUGGAGUAGAGGCAGGCGGAAUUCCCGGUGUAGCGGUGGAAUGCGUAGAUAUCGGGAGGAACACCAGUGGCGAAGGCGGCCUGCUGGGCUUUAACUGACACUGAGGCUCGAAAGCGUGGGUAGCAAACAGGAUUAGAUAACCUGGUAGUCCACGCUGUAAACGAUGAUUACUAGGUGUGGGGGGACUGACCCCCUCCGUGCCGCAGUUAACACAAUAAGUAAUCCACCUGGGGAGUACGACCGCAAGGUUGAA